UUGUGUGGACGUUAGGAUAGUUUUGUGGCUACAUGACGGUCACGUCAAAUUCAAUGAAGGGUUGUAAAACCCCAUGUGCCGUCAAGACGUUUAUGUCGACUUUUUGACGAUACUUGAAGGGAUGAACUAAAAUCAAGAGUUUUAAAACUCUUCAUUUUUUGUUCUUGUUCAAAACUCACGAACCAUUCACUUUCUUUCUGUCUUCAUUUUCGCUCUCUCUCUCUCUCUCUCUCUCUCUCUCUCUCUCUCAAAAAGAGGUGGUCUUUAGCUCUAAUCUUUAAGUUUUUCAUAGAUCCCUUUUUAGCCCAUACGGGAAUUUGUCUGCUCAACCUCCCAAGUGCAAGAAGUUUGUUCCUCCUCCAAAGUCAAGCCCAAGGAAAAAGAAUGCAAGACCUGAAAAGCUACCUCAUGUGAAACUGGCCACCUUAACACGAGCCACAUCUUCUAGAGCAGCAGCAACAACAUGCGUCUGCAAAGGCUUCUGGUUUUGAGAACUGAUUUGCUUCAAAGGCUGCUUAGUUAUCUUAUCAAGAUCGGUUUAAUGGACGCGCCAUCCUUACCAAGCGAGUGGUAUAACUCUCUGACCUCGCUGAUGAAAACUUCCAAUUAAUUAGUGAACUCUUUUACUUCUAGGCAUUGAACAUAUUUCACUUUAGUGUCUCCCAAGCCCUAUGUAGAGAUGGGUCGCGAAUUCUAUGCUCAAAUUGAGCACAUCUCUCAAAGGUUUUCCUAUUGAGGUCACUUCUGACCUACUUUUUUCUAUCCUCAAUAUCACCAUAGUUCUAAACCCUGAUUAUCCCUAUUAUAAGGCAUAUACCCCUGCCAAACACCAAUUGGCACUUCUCUUUGUCACUGAGAGGGAAACUUGUUGGCAAAAUCAUAGGACUCAUUUCCACAUGGGUUAAAUGACAGUCCCCAUAAGACUAUUUACUUUAAUCAUUUUGAAUAAUAUGUGGCCUCUCAAUAGGAAACAAAAAUGAGUUUUGAACGGACAUGUUUUAUGCAUGCCUUAUUAAAAGCUCAUAGUGUAGAUCUUUGCUCCCACAUCCUCCUCCUCAUGCAUAUUGCCUACAAGGAAAAAAUCACUUCUCUUCUGUUUGGUGGUCUUAUCACCAAAUUGGUUGCUCACUUCGAGGUCCCUCCUCGUCCAACUGAGCCAUCUAUCACUCCCCAAGGUGCGGUCUAUAAAAGAACCGUUUCAAAGUCCAUGGCUCAGGUUGCUGCUUGAUGUGCAAAUUUUAAUACUUGCAAGCGCACGAAUCGUUUGUAAUAUAGUGUAUGUGCAAGUACGAGGUCGAAUCCACGGGGAAUUGUGUUGCAAAAAUUAAUUUCUAUUUAAACUAAUUCUAUUUUAACCUA